rnacentral:misc_RNA from 1 species
AAGGAUCAUUAACGAAUUACUGAGGGUUGAUGCUGGCAGUCCAGCUGCAUGUGCUCGCUCUUAUUAAUCCAUUUACACCUGUGCACUUAAUUUCGAAGGUAGGAUCUGCCUUUGAUAUUUAACAAAUUCUUUAUUGGAUCAAUGGGUAUUUAUCUGCUGCAAGGCAAAUUUUAAUACAACUUUUAACAACGGAUCUCUUGGCUCUC